rnacentral:lncRNA from 1 species
GACCUAAACACUUUCCAGAAGGACUCACUGUUCUCUUUGACCAAUAAGAUAAUGGGGGUCUCUCAAAGAAAACAUGGGGCAUUCUUAUAUUGGGGCUGAUGUGAGAUGCAUAUGUAGGCUGGCACUUAAAUUAAGGAUGGAUCUAACCCCAACACACUGUCAUUACCAGUUAAGAAUGCACACAUGGCUGCAAGAGAAGCUGGGAAGCAUAGUUUAUUUAUGUUGCAAGAUAUAAGAGGAAGCAACCAGGCAGCAGCAGUGGCAGACACUCACCCAAAUAAAAUGGUCCAGCAGUUAGCAGGUUCUUCAAGGCUGGCAAUAUUAUUUCCCCGGUUGUACCAGUAUCAGAAGAAUUUAGAGAAGCUAAGUCCUUUGCUCAAGCUUUAAAAGAUAAGCACAGAAAACCUCACAAAAGACUAUCCUCACAAAGUGCAAAAGAUAGAAGCCAAAAUAUACAAGAAAAAGUUAAACAAGAUAAGAAAUGUAAAAACAAAGCAAAAUGAGAUGAAAAGGCUGCAA